GGGGCCGCCAUGGUUUCGACGGGGGUUGCAAAGCGGAUGGGGGCAUGCCGGGAUCGCAGAUUCCCGUAAAACGCUGUAUUUAUAUAGUCGCAAACGACGAAACUUACGCCCUAGCCGCUUAAUCGCGCUAGGCUCUGCACUAUUCCUCCCAUCGGGUAGGCCGGGUAAAACCGGUUGCAGAGUCAUUUAGAUGGGAUCGCGUCAGUUCGGGUUACUUGAGCAGGCGUUAAAUCCAAGGUGACUCGCUAAACCCUAGCCUGUCGGUCGGCGCGGGGGCGGUUAAAUCCAAAUGGCCAGACUAAGCAUGUAGAACCUACUGUAGAGUGCUUCCGGACGCGGGUUCAACUCCCGCCGGCUCCACCA
rnacentral:tmRNA from 1 species